AGAGUUUGAUCAUGGCUCAGAAUGUACGCUGGCGGCACGCCUAACACAUGCAAGUCGAGCGAGGUACUUGUACCUAGCGGCAGACGGGUGCGUAACAUGUGGGAAUCUGCCUUUUGGUUCGGAACAACACGGGGAAACUUGUGCUAAUACCGGAUAAGUCCUAACGGAGAAAGAUUUAUCGCCGAAAGAUGAGCCCGCACUAGAUUAGCUUGUUGGUAAGGUAAAAGCUUACCAAGGCUACGAUCUAUAGCUGAUUUGAGAGGAUGAUCAGCCACACUGGGACUGAGACACGGCCCAGACUCCUACGGGAGGCAGCAGUGGGGAAUCUUGCACAAUGGAGGAAACUCUGAUGCAGCGAUGCCGCGUGAGUGAAGAAGGCCCUUGGGUUGUAAAGCUCUUUCGUCGGGGAAGAAAAUGACUGUACCCGAAUAAGAAGGUCCGGCUAACUUCGUGCCAGCAGCCGCGGUAAUACGAAGGGACCUAGCGUAGUUCGGAAUUACUGGGCUUAAAGAGUUCGUAGGUGGUUGAAAAAGUUAGUGGUGAAAUCCCAGAGCUUAACUCUGGAACUGCCAUUAAAACUUUUCAGCUAGAGUAUGAUAGAGGAAAGCAGAAUUUCUAGUGUAGAGGUGAAAUUCGUAGAUAUUAGAAAGAAUACCAAUUGCGAAGGCAGCUUUCUGGAUCAUUACUGACACUGAGGAACGAAAGCAUGGGUAGCGAAGAGGAUUAGAUACCCUCGUAGUCCAUGCCGUAAACGAUGUGUGUUAGACGUUGGAAAUUUAUUUUCAGUGUCGCAGCGAAAGCGAUAAACACACCGCCUGGGGAGUACGACCGCAAGGUUAAAACUCAAAUGAAUUGACGGGGACCCGCACAAGCGGUGGAGCAUGUGGUUUAAUUCGAAGCUACGCGCAGAACCUUACCAACACUUGACAUGUCUGUCGCGGAUUCCAGAGAUGGAUUCCUUCGGUUCGGCCGGACAGAACACAGGUGCUGCAUGGCUGUCGUCAGCUCGUGUCGU
rnacentral:rRNA from 1 species